rnacentral:rRNA from 1 species
GACAGAGGGUGCAAACGUUGCUCGGAAUUACUGGGCGUAAAGCGCGUGUAGGUGGAUUGGUGUGUCAGAUGUGAAAUCCCUGGGCUCAACCCAGGAACUGCACCUGAAACUACCAGUCUUGAGUGGUGGAGAGGGAAGUGGAAUUCCUGGUGUAGAGGUGAAAUUCGUAGAUAUCAGGAGGAACACCAGUGGCGAAUGCGGCUUCCUGGACACCAACUGACGCUGAGACGCGAAAGCGUGGGGAGCAAACAGG